UUCCAUAUGGUUAGUGAUCACUACACGGGGUGUAGUAAAUACUACCCAUAUUGUUUCAUAAACAUUUGCCAAACCUAUUGGUUGUCACGAGUAUUUUUUAUUUUUUUAUUUUCUUUUAUGAAUAUAUGUUAUGAUUUUGUACACGGGUACACUAAUUUAUAACUCUAUCAGAGUUGAGCCAAUCCGAGUCGUAAUUUUUUUGUUUUAAUAUAUGUGCGCUUAAAAGUUU
rnacentral:lncRNA from 1 species